UCAUAUUUUCCUAUAACACCCUUUAAUAUUUUUGAAAAUAAAUUUAAUAAAUAAUUUUACAAACAAAAAAAUUUUGGAAAAAUAGUAACUUUUGAUAAACUACCUAUAUGAACUUAGUGAUAUUUUUUCCAGUUAUAAAAAAGUUAAAAUUAUAAAUUUCAUAUUAUGUUCUAAAUAAAGUAGAAAUGACAUUCUACGAAGUAGAAAACGAAAUCCACUUUUUCCAUUGAAUCUACAAUGUUUAGAAUACGUGAUCUACGUAAAUAGGAGUAUUCUAAAAAUAUUUAGAAUACACAUUCCGCGCUUAACCUAUCAUUCUAAAAUCUUUAGAAAUCAAAAUCUACACAUUAAUAUAAAUCUAAAACACGUAGAAACUGACUUCUACAGAUUUACUAUAAAUCUAAAACAUGUAGAAAUCAAAAUCUAAACAUUACUAUAAUUCUAAAAAACUGUAGAAACCGAUUUCUACAUAUUAGUUGUAUUCUACGGAUAAAAAAUCAGUUCCUAAAAAUAUGGAAACAAAAUAUUUGGGAAUAUUCACUUUUAUAUUUUGAAAAAAAAAAUCGAUUUUUAAAAAAAAAAUAAAAAAACAAAAAAGGAACAAAAAAAUAAAAAAAUAAACGAAAAAAAAUAAAAAAAUUACAAUUUUAAGGGCAUUACUGCCAUUUUGAAAAAAUUUAGUCUAAUAGGACAUAAAUUAGUAUAGAUUAGUAUAAAAGGACAUAGUUACCAUUUUUUUGCUCUAAAAAAACAAUUUUCCCUUUAUAAUAAUGCACUGCUGCUACAUGAUGCUUGCCGCAACCGACUCCUUUCACACUAUCACCGGAAACUACCAUUAACGAUCCUUUUUAAUCCACUAGUUAUCAUUGCAUCAUGACUAUAAACGAUUGAUUUUGUCAAAAUUUAGUCAGUAUAAUUUAAAUAGUGGCUAU
rnacentral:lncRNA from 1 species